rnacentral:rRNA from 1 species
UGGGGAAUAUUGCACAAUGGGCGCAAGCCUGAUGCAGCCAUGCCGCGUGUGUGAAGAAGGCCUUCGGGUUGUAAAGCACUUUCAGCGAGGAGGAAGGUGGUGAGCUUAAUACGCUCAUCAAUUGACGUUACUCGCAGAAGAAGCACCGGCUAACUCCGUGCCAGCAGCCGCGGUAAUACGGAGGGUGCAAGCGUUAAUCGGAAUUACUGGGCGUAAAGCGCACGCAGGCGGUUUGUUAAGUCAGAUGUGAAAUCCCCGGGCUCAACCUGGGAACUGCAUUUGAAACUGGCAAGCUAGAGUCUCGUAGAGGGGGGUAGAAUUCCAGGUGUAGCGGUGAAAUGCGUAGAGAUCUGGAGGAAUACCGGUGGCGAAGGCGGCCCCCUGGACGAAGACUGACGCUCAGGUGCGAAAGCGUGGGAGCAAACAGGAUUAGAUACCCUGGUAGUCCACGCUGUAAACGAUGUCGAUUUUGGAGGUUGUGCCCUUGAGGCGUGGCUUCCGGAGCUAACGCGUUAAAUCGACCGCCUGGGGAGUACGGCCGCAAGG